AGCUAUUUAGCUAUACUCCAAGUAAAUGUUUUGAAAGCAUUUGAAAAAUAUUUUAAUAGCUACAAA
rnacentral:tRNA from 1 species